GACAGAGGAUGCAAGCGUUAUCCGGAAUGAUUGGGCGUAAAGCGUCUGUAGGUGGCUUUUUAAGUCCGCCGUCAAAUCCCAGGGCUCAACCCUGGACAGGCGGUGGAAACUACCAAGCUGGAGUUCGGUAGGGGAGACUGGAAUUCCUGGUGUAGCGGUGAAAUGCGCAGAUAUCAGGAGGAACACCGAUGGCGAAGGCAGGUCUCUGGGCCACUACUGACGCUGAGAAGCGAAAGCAUGGGGAGCGAACAGG
rnacentral:rRNA from 1 species